AACGAACGCUGGCGGCAUGCCUAACACAUGCAAGUCGAACGAGACCUUCGGGUCUAGUGGCGCACGGGUGCGUAACGCGUGGGAAUCUGCCCUUGGGUUCGGAAUAACAGUUGGAAACGACUGCUAAUACCGGAUGAUGACGUAAGUCCAAAGAUUUAUCGCCCAGGGAUGAGCCCGCGUAGGAUUAGCUGGUUGGUGGGGUAAAGGCCUACCAAGGCGACGAUCCUUAGCUGGUCUGAGAGGAUGAUCAGCCACACUGGGACUGAGACACGGCCCAGACUCCUACGGGAGGCAGCAGUGGGUAAUAUUGGACAAUGGGCGAAAGCCUGAUCCAGCAAUGCCGCGUGAGUGAUGAAGGCCUUAGGGUUGUAAAGCUCUUUUACCCGGGAUGAUAAUGACAGUACCGGGAGAAUAAGCCCCGGCUAACUCCGUG
rnacentral:rRNA from 1 species